rnacentral:rRNA from 1 species
UACAGAGGGGGCAAGCGUUAUUCGGAUUCACUGGGUUUAAAGGGCGCGUAGGUGGGUUGAUAAGUCAGUGGUGAAAUCCCCGAGCUUAACUUGGGAACUGCCAUUGAUACUAUUGAUCUUGAAUACCGUGGAGGUCAGCGGAAUAUGUCAUGUAGCGGUGAAAUGCUUAGAUAUGACAUAGAACACCAAUUGCGAAGGCAGCUGGCUACGCGAAUAUUGACACUGAUGCACGAAAGCGGGGGGAUCAAACAGG